AGUGAACGCUGGCGGUAGGCCUAACACAUGCAAGUCGAACGGCAGCACAGUAAGAGCUUGCUCUUACGGGUGGCGAGUGGCGGACGGGUGAGUAAUACAUCGGAAUCUACUUUUUCGUGGGGGAUAACGUAGGGAAACUUACGCUAAUACCGCAUACGACCUACGGGUGAAAGCAGGGGAUCUUCGGACCUUGCGCGAUUGAAUUAGCCGAUGUCGGAUUAGCUAGUUGGCGGGGUAAAUGCCCACCAAGGCGACGAUCCGUAGCUGGUCUGAGAGGAUGAUCAGCCACACUGGAACUGAGACACGGUCCAGACUCCUACGGGAGGCAGCAGUGGGGAAUAUUGGACAAUGGGCGCAAGCCUGAUCCAGCCAUAACGCGUGGGUGAAGAAGGCCUUCGGGUUGUAAAGCCCUUUUGUUGGGAAAGAAAAGCAGCAGGUUAAUACCCCGCUGUUCUGACGGUACCAAAAGAAUAAGCACCGGCUAACUUCGUG
rnacentral:rRNA from 1 species